rnacentral:rRNA from 1 species
UGGGGAAUAUUGCACAAUGGGCGCAAGCCUGAUGCAGCCAUGCCGCGUGUAUGAAGAAGGCCUUCGGGUUGUAAAGUACUUUCAGUCGGGAGGAAGGUGUCAAGGUUAAUAACCUUGGCAAUUGACGUUACCGACAGAAGAAGCACCGGCUAACUCCGUGCCAGCAGCCGCGGUAAUACGGAGGGUGCAAGCGUUAAUCGGAAUUACUGGGCGUAAAGCGCACGCAGGCGGUUGAUUGAGUCAGAUGUGAAAUCCCCGGGCUUAACCCGGGAAGUGCAUCUGAUAGUGGUCGGCUAGAGUCUUGUAGAGGGGGGUAGAAUUCCAUGUGUAGCGAGGAAAUGCGUAGAGAUGUGGAGGAAUGACGGUGGCGAAGGCGGCCCCCUGGACAAAGACUGACGCUCAGGUGCGAGAGCGUGGGGAGCAAACAGG